rnacentral:rRNA from 1 species
AGAGUUUGAUCCUGGCUCAGGACGAACGCUGGCGGCGUGCUUAACACAUGCAAGUCGAACGGAAAGGCCCUGCUUGCAGGGUACUCGAGUGGCGAACGGGUGAGUAACACGUGGGUGAUCUGCCCUGCACUUCGGGAUAAGCCUGGGAAACUGGGUCUAAUACCGGAUAGGAGCCAUUUUUAGUGUGAUGGUUGGAAAGUUUUUUCGGUGUAGGAUGAGCUCGCGGCCUAUCAGCUUGUUGGUGGGGUAAUGGCCUACCAAGGCGGCGACGGGUAGCCGGCCUGAGAGGGUGGACGGCCACAUUGGGACUGAGAUACGGCCCAGACUCCUACGGGAGGCAGCAGUGGGGAAUAUUGCACAAUGGGCGCAAGCCUGAUGCAGCGACGCCGCGUGGGGGAUGACGGCCUUCGGGUUGUAAACUCCUUUCGCUAGGGACGAAGCUUUUUGUGACGGUACCUAGAUAAGAAGCACCGGCUAACUACGUGCCAGCAGCCGCGGUAAUACGUAGGGUGCGAGCGUUGUCCGGAAUUACUGGGCGUAAAGGGCUCGUAGGUGGUUUGUCGCGUCGUCUGUGAAAUUCCGGGGCUUAACUCCGGGCGUGCAGGCGAUACGGGCAUAACUUGAGUACUGUAGGGGUAACUGGAAUUCCUGGUGUAGCGGUGAAAUGCGCAGAUAUCAGGAGGAACACCGAUGGCGAAGGCAGGUUACUGGGCAGUUACUGACGCUGAGGAGCGAAAGCAUGGGUAGCGAACAGGAUUAGAUACCCUGGUAGUCCAUGCCGUAAACGGUGGGCGCUAGGUGUGAGGGUCUUUUCACGACUUUCGUGCCG